UACCUGGUUGAUCCUGCCAGUAGUCAUAUGCUUGUUUCAAGGACUAAGCCAUGCAAGUCUCAGAGUAAAUGGAUCACAGUAGGUCUGCAGACAGCUCAUUAAAUCAGCUUCAAUCUACGCGGAGAUACUAGCUUCUGCUAGACUAUUGGAUAACUUUGGUAACCCCAAAGCUAAUACAUGUCAGCAUAUCCCACACAGAUUCAACCUCGGGGCUUCGGUUCUGGGGCUGUGUUGGGAGCAAUUGACCGAAAUAAAAACCAACGCUAGCAAUAGCAGCGGUGAUUGGAUGAUUCAGGUCAAUCGAGUAGUAGCGCAUACUUCGGUGGCGCUUGUCCGCAUGAGAAUCUGCCCUAUCAGCUUUUGACGGUAGUGUAGUGGACUACCGUGGCUGUAACGGGUAACGGGGAAUUAGGGUUCGAUUCCGGAGAGGGAGCCUGAGAAACGGCUACCACAACUAAGGUUGGCAGCAGGCGCGCAAAUUGCCCAAUAGCAACACAUCGCUGAGGCAGCGAAGAGAAAUAGCAACUUUAUGCGGCCCUGCCGUGUAAAGAUUGCCAUGGACGAUAUCUAAACCUGUCGGUGAGUAUCAAUUGGUGGACAAGUCUGGUGCCAGCACCCGCGGUAAUUCCAGCACCAAUAGC
rnacentral:rRNA from 1 species